rnacentral:sRNA from 1 species
UGGAAUGGCGACGUCCGGCUCCAGCGCCGGGACGUCUUCGUCCGCACCGACGGAGACCAUUGGGAAGUCGAGGCCCAGCUGGGCGGUCCCGAGGGGAAAUCGAAGGUGCAGCAGUGUCCCGGCCGGGCGUCAGCGAUGAUCCUGGCCGACGCGUGGCGCGGUCCACGCUGGCAGUGGCGCGAGCUGUAAGGCGCGCCAGGAGCCCGGGCUGCGCCGUCGUUGCUUGACUUGUCUCGGCCAGCCUUCACGGACGGGCCGGAUCCCACACGGGGUCCGGCCCGUCCGUGCUU